UACGGAGGGUGCGAGCGUUGUCCGGAAUCAUUGGGCGUAAAGGGCGCGUAGGUGGCCCGGUCAGUUCGUGGUGAAAGCGCGGGGCUCAACCCUGCGUCGGCCAUGAAUACUGCCGCGGCUGGAGCACUGUAGAGGCAGGCGGAAUUCCGGGUGUAGCGGUGGAAUGCGUAGAGAUCCGGAAGAACACCGGUGGCGAAGGCGGCCUGCUGGGCAGUUGCU
rnacentral:rRNA from 1 species